AAAAAGAGAAAAAGAGAAAAUAAUAUUGACCUUGAAAAAGACGAUAGUGUGAAAGCCGUCGUUGUAAAAAUUCGAGUAAACUGGAAUAUUACAGAUAAAGCCCAUGAGGUAUUAAAGUAAACAUCCACAACUCUCGAAAUCCUGCAAGGUAGGAUGAUUUUGAAUCAGUGAUUAGGUCUUAUCUGACCAAUUCUUGGAAGCUACUAGUUUUAGCAGUAUUUUGGAGAAUCUAAAGCCUUAGCUUGUGUAUGGUCCAGAUAUCACCGAGCACCCAAGUAUAAAUUAGCCUUAC
rnacentral:lncRNA from 1 species